rnacentral:rRNA from 1 species
UGGGGAAUCUUGCACAAUGGGGGAAACCCUGAUGCAGCGACGCCGCGUGAGUGAUGAAGCCCUUCGGGGUGUAAAGCUCUUUCGACGGGAACGAUAAUGACGGUACCCGGAGAAGAAGCUGCGGCUAACUACGUGCCAGCAGCCGCGGUAAUACGUAGGCAGCAAGCGUUGUUCGGAAUUACUGGGCGUAAAGAGUACGUAGGUGGUUUGCUAAGUCCGAUGUGAAAUCUCCCGGCUUAACUGGGAGGGUGCGUUAGAUACUGGCAGGCUUGAGUGUGGGAGAGGAGAGCGGAAUUCCUGGUGUAGCGGUGAAAUGCGUAGAUAUCAGGAGGAACGCCUGUGGUGUAGACGGCUCUCUGGACCAUUACUGACACUGAGGUACGAAAGCGUGGGUAGCAAACAG